UACGUAGGGUGCAAGCGUUGUCCGGAAUUAUUGGGCGUAAAGAGCUCGUAGGCGGCUUGUCGCGUCGGCUGUGAAAACCUGGGGCUCAACCCCGGGCCUGCAGCCGAUACGGGCAGACUAGAGUGUGGUAGGGGAGACUGGAAUUCCUGGUGUAGCGGUGAAAUGCGCAGAUAUCAGGAGGAACACCGAUGGCGAAGGCAGGUCUCUGGGCCAUAACUGACGCUGAGAAGCGAAAGCAUGGGGGAGCGAACAGG
rnacentral:rRNA from 1 species